rnacentral:rRNA from 1 species
AAUGAACGCUGGCGGCGUGCUUAACACAUGCAAGUCGUGCGCGAAGGUGGCUUCGGCCACCGGAGAGCGGCGAACGGGUGAGUAACACGUGGGUGAUCUGCCUGGGAGCGGGGGAUAACCUGGGGAAACUCGGGCUAAUACCGCAUACGUUGUUGGGGUUGCGGCCUCGACAAGAAAGCUGGCCUCUAUUUAUAAGCUAGCGCUCGCAGAGGAGCCCGCGGCUGAUUAGCUAGUUGGUGGGGUAAAGGCCUACCAAGGCGACGAUCAGUAGCCGGCCUGAGAGGGUGAUCGGCCACACUGGGACUGAGACACGGCCCAGACUCCUACGGGAGGCAGCAGUGGGGAAUAUUGGACAAUGGGCGCAAGCCUGAUCCAGCAACGCCGCGUGGAGGACGAAGGUCUUCGGAUCGUAAACUCCUGUCAGGCGGGACGAAGGUUUCCGGGCGAACAGUCCGGAAGCUUGACGGUACUGCCAGAGGAAGCCCCGGCUAACUCCGUGC